CAGAUCUGUUAUUCAACCAUCUCAAUAUCACUGUGAUGCCAUGCUGGAUUUGGACAAUGGAGGCAAAAAGAAAGAGAAAACAUUGAACAAAAUAGGAACUACCUGACAUAGCAAAGAGUCAUUAAGGUAUUCAGUUGAUGGAAGAUAAGGACAAAAGAGUUUUUGAGAAAUUUAUGGAUGGAAUAUGGCAUUCUUACAUUUCCUUAGUUACCAAGUAGCCGAGAACUAUACGUGAGUAUCUUCAAUUAAACAGCCACCUCUCUUCUAGGCUCCUUCCCAUAACUCACUUCAAUCCUAAAGAAAUUCUUUAGAUUUCCUCCCAGGUACUCAUUAUUAUUAUUUUUAAGUGG